AUUUUUCUAGUAUCCAAG
rnacentral:sRNA from 1 species